UUCCUGACUUUCCCAUCGUUCGGGGCAUUCUGGGGCUGUUUUGGCUAUUGGUUGCUUGUUUGGUCUUGAGCCGAAGGGUGGCUUCUAGCCGGUGGCUUCGGGGAUGUUGUCCGUAAAGGUGGAUGAGUGGUGUUUGGUUUGUCACGUGUGGUUGGCUGCGGCGUUUGCAACAACUUCCAUGCUUUCAGACCUCUUCAGUUGUGCGGCAAGGCUUGUAUUGCCCUUGCGGAAUGGGGGUUUUCUGUGUUGGAAACCUAAACAAUGGUAUCGGUUGGAUUGAUCAAUGUUUCAUUUCGUCUGUCGUCGCAUUCGCGGCGUGAGACGAACCUCGAUGCGGUCUCUUUGGCCCACCUCGUCGAAGCACAUGCUUUGACGUUGUGGCACAUUGAGCAUUGCUUGGUCUCUUGUAUACGGAACAUAUAGUGGGCAUGGAUCUAACGAUUCUUGUUUGCCCUCAUGUUAGCGUAACGCUUCUCUUACACGACUUGCUCCACGUUUUAG
rnacentral:misc_RNA from 1 species